CAUGCAGUCGAGCGGACUUUCAAGAAGCUUGCUUUUUGAAAGUUAGCGGCGGACGGGUGAGUAACACGUGGGCAACCUGCCUGCAAGACGGGGAUAACUCCGGGAAACCGGGGCUAAUACCGGAUAAUAUCUUCCUUCGCAUGAAGGAAGGUUGAAAGGCGGCGCAAGCUGCCGCUUGACAGGCAGAUGGGCCCGCGGCGCAUUAGCUAGUUGGUGAGGUAACGGCUCACCAAGGCGACGAUGCGUAGCCGACCUGAGAGGGUGAUACUGGGAGCGGCCACACUGGACUGAGACACGGCCCAGACUCCUACGGGAGGCAGCAGUAGGGAAUCUUCCGCAAUGGACGAAAGUCUGACGGAGCAACGCCGCGUGAGCGAAGAAGGUCUUCGGAUCGUAAAGCUCUGUUGUCAGGGAAGAACAAGUACCGUUCGAGCGGUACCUUGACGGUACCUGACCAGAAAGCCACGGCUAACUACGUGCCAGCAGCCGCGGUAAUACGUAGGUGGCAAGCGUUGUCCGGAAUUAUUGGGCGUAAAGCGCGCGCAGGCGGUCUCUUAAGUCUGAUGUGAAAGCCCACGGCUCAACCGUGGAGGGUCAUUGGAAACUUGAGUGCAGAAGAGGAGAGCGGAAUUCCACGUGUAGCGGUGAAAUGCGUAGAGAUGUGGAGGAACACCAGUGGCGAAGGCGGCUCUCUGGUCUGUAACUGACGCUGAGGCGCGAAAGCGUGGGGAGCGAACAGGAUUAGAUACCCUGGUAGUCCACGCCGUAAACGAUGAGUGCUAAGUGUUAGAGGGCUUCCACCCUUUAGUGCUGCAGCUAACGCAUUAAGCACUCCGCCUGGGGAGUACGGCCGCAAGGCUGAAACUCAAAGGAAUUGACGGGGGCCCGCACAAGCGGUGGAGCAUGUGGUUUAAUUCGAAGCAACGCGAAGAACCUUACCAGGUCUUGACAUCCUUCGCUACCUCUAGAGAUAGAGGGUUCCCCUUCGGGGGACGGAGUGACAGGUGGUGCAUGGUUGUCGUCAGCUCGUGUCGUGAGAUGUUGGGUUAAGUCCCGCAACGAGCGCAACCCUUGACCUUAGUUGCCAGCAUUCAGUUGGGCACUCUAAGGUGACUGCCGGUGACAAACCGGAGGAAGGUGGGGAUGACGUCUCAGUUCAAAUCAUCAUGCCCCUUAUGACCUGGGCUACACACGUGCUACAAUGGAUGGUACAAAGGGUCGCGAAACCGCGAGGUGGAGCCAAUCCCAAAAAACCAUUCGGAUUGCAGGCUGCAACUCGCCUGCAUGAAGCCGGAAUCGCU
rnacentral:rRNA from 1 species